rnacentral:lncRNA from 1 species
AUGACAAGAAGGACCACCACCCAAGUCUCCUUUCCAUGUGCGCACCGGAAAACCCCAGUGGGCUCAGCUCCCUGCAGCUCACCAGGCGGCUGCAACAGGUGCAGCCCCAGCCAAGGCUGGAGAGUCUCCUUGGCUGUUCUAGAAUCACGCAGCCCGAACCCUGAAGGAAGCCCGAGGCCUGCAGCCCUCACCGCCAGGGCCCUGACCUGCCCCACCUGUCUGAGUGCGCGUCUCCGGCCGGCGCUCGGGGGCCGCGGCCUCCGGCCCGAAAUAGAAGCCCGCGGAGCGCGCAGGCCCAAGCGGCUGGACCGGGAGCGCCGGGCGGGGGCCCCGCGGCCAGGGGAGCGGCCGGCCCGGUCUGCGCGCCGCCCCCGCUCCCAGCCGCGAUCGGCCGCGCGCCCUGCGCCCCCGGAGCCACCUGCGCGCCGGCCCCGAGGGUGCUCGGGCGGGGAGGGGUCCCGGAGGUGCUGGGAGGGGCCUGGGGGCUGGGUCCCGAGGCGGGCCGCCGGGAGGGUCCGAGGAGGGGACGCCCGCCGGGAGGGUCGGGGGUCCGGGGAGCAGUCGGGGGGCUCCGGGGCGGGGACUCCGGGAGGGUCGGGCGGGGUGGAGGCUCUCCGGAGGGUCCCGCCGCCGCCCCCGCGCACCUGCCGGGCCCGCGCGCUCCCGCCGCCAGCCGGCCCUUACCUGGCGUGGCGCGUCCUGGCCGCGCGUCCCGGCGGUGCCCGGCCCGGCGAGCGCGGGCGCAGGAAUGGCGGCGGGCGGCGGGGCGCUCGGGCCGGGCUCGGGGCGGCGGGGGCGGCGGCGGGGGCGGGGGCGGCGGCGGCGGCGGGGGCGGCGGCCGGGGAUGCUGCGGCGCGCGAGGGCGCGGAGGCCGGCGCGGGAGGGAGGGCGCGGGGCGGCGCGCAGGCCCCUCCCCCGCUCCCGCCUCCCCUUCCCGCCGCCUCCUCCCCCGCCCGGCUGCCCGCAGACUCCGCCUCCCCGGCUCGUUCCCUCCCCUCCGCCCUCCCCUUUCUUCACCUUCCUCCCCCACUCCUCCCCCUCCUGCCUCCUCCCGCCUGCUCUCCGCGCGGGGCCUCAGAGGCGGCCCCUGGUCCGCCCGCGCUCAGGCGGGCCCAGAGCCACCCGCCCCCGCCCCCGCCCCCACCCCGACGCCCACCCCGACCCCCACCCCCACCCCCACCACCUGCUCAGGGACCGGCGGGCCCCUCCUGGGAGCCCGGCCUGACUGCACCCCUCCCGGCCCCCCCAAAUCCCCAGGCCUCCCGCGCCCCCCAGGCCUCCCGGCCACUCUGCUGGGACCCUGCCCUGCACGCACGUGUGCACAGCCCACGCUGGUUGCCCCUUUGCAUCUUAGGGAGCCUGACUUUGGGCAGGAGCCUUCUGAGCGGCCCCCUGCAUCUCCCAGACUGA